rnacentral:rRNA from 1 species
AGUGAACGCUGGCGGUAGGCCUAACACAUGCAAGUCGAACGGCAGCACAGUAAGAGCUUGCUCUUACGGGUGGCGAGUGGCGGACGGGUGAGGAAUACAUCGGAAUCUACUUUUUCGUGGGGGAUAACGUAGGGAAACUUACGCUAAUACCGCAUACGACCUACGGGUGAAAGUAGGGGAUCUUCGGACCUUGCGCGAUUGAAUGAGCCGAUGUCGGAUUAGCUAGUUGGCGGGGUAAAGGCCCACCAAGGCGACGAUCCGUAGCUGGUCUGAGAGGAUGAUCAGCCACACUGGAACUGAGACACGGUCCAGACUCCUACGGGAGGCAGCAGUGGGGAAUAUUGGACAAUGGGCGCAAGCCUGAUACAGCCAUACCGCGUGGGUGAAGAAGGCCUUCGGGUUGUAAAGCCCUUUUGUUGGGAAAGAAAAGCAGCAGGUUAAUACCCCGCUGUUCUGACGGUACCCAAAGAAUAAGCACCGGCUAACUUCGUG